CAAUUGAUGUAGCCUAGUGGUUAAGGUGACAGACUGCAACGCAGGUGACCAAGAUUUGAACCCUGGUCAGUUGU